CGCCUGGGGAGUACGGGUGAGGUAACGGCUCACCAAGGCAUCGACGGGUAGCUGGUCUGAGAGGAUGAUCAGCCACACUGGGACUGAGACACGGCCCAGACUCCUACGGGAGGCAGCAGUGGGGAAUAUUGCACAAUGGGCGAAAGCCUGAUGCAGCAACGCCGCGUGCGGGAUGAAGGCCCUAGGGUUGUAAACCGCCUUCAGCAGGGAAGAAAAUGACGGUACCUGUAGAAGAAGGUGCGGCCAACUACGUGCCAGCAGCCGCGGUGACACGUAGGCACCAAGCGUUGUCCGGAUUUAUUGGGCGUAAAGAGCUCGUAGGCGGUUCAGUAAGUCGGGUGUGAAAACUCUGGGCUCAACCCAGAGACGCCACUCGAUACUGCUGUGACUAGAGUGCGGUAGGGGAGCGGGGAAUUCCUAGUGUAGCGGUGAAAUGCGCAGAUAUUAGGAGGAACACCAGUGGCGAAGGCGCCGCUCUGGGCCGUAACUGACGCUGAGGAGCGAAAGCGUGGGUAGCAAACAGGAUUAGAUACCCUGGUAGUCCACGCCGUAAACGUUGGGCACUAGGUGUGGGUCUCAACCAACGAGAUCCGCGCCGUCGCUAACGCAUUAAGUGCCCCGCCUGGGGAGUACGG
rnacentral:rRNA from 1 species